rnacentral:rRNA from 1 species
UACAGAGGGGGCAAGCGUUAUUCGGAAUUAUUGGGCGUAAAGGGCGCGUAGGCGGCUUGGCAAGUGGAUGGUGAAAUCCCUCGGCUUAACCGAGGAACUGCCGUCCAAACUGCUUCGCUUGAGACCGGGAGAGGUGAGUGGAAUUCCCAGUGUAGCGGUGAAAUGCGUAGAUAUUGGGAGGAACACCAGUGGCGAAGGCGGCUCACUGGACCGGUACUGACGCUGAGUGCGCGAAAGCGUGGGGAGCAAACAGG